UACAGAGGCCUCGAGCGUUAAUCGGAGUUACUGGGCUUAAAGGGUGCGUAGGCGGUUCUUCAAGUACCUUGUGAAAUCCCAUGGCUCAACCAUGGAAUUGCUUGGUAGACUGGGGAACUUGAGGUUGGUAGAGGUCGCUGGAACUCUAGGUGGAGCGGUGAAAUGCGUAGAUAUCUAGAGGAACACCAAACGUGAAGACAGGCGACUGGGCCAAUUCUGACGCUGAGGCACGAAAGCGUGGGGAGCAAAC
rnacentral:rRNA from 1 species